rnacentral:tRNA from 1 species
GCUCCCUUCGUCUAGCGGUCAGGACGUUGCCCUCUCACGGCGAAAACAGGGGUUCGAUUCCCCUAGGGAGCG